CCGACAUGCCUAGUUCCUCUAUGUAGUGAGUCAAUAGUUGUUUUUUUUAAAUCAUAAAUAAAUCAUAACUAAUCAUAAAUCAUAAUCCACUAAAAUGCUUUAAUGCGCAUGUUGAUUUGAUUCAGAUGUGCUGAUAAUAUACAACCUGAUUAUUUAAACGUCUUACCCUUCAUAAGUGCAACACAGACGGUCCAUUGACCCACUCUGCUGCUACCCUAAUGCUUUGCUGCUCACUUCCGGGAACUAUUGAGAGGCUCCGUGAUCAGCCAUUGCUGGGGGGAAAACAAAAAAGGUCCAUUGGAGUGAGUGGAGUAGUCGCGACACACAUUGGACGGUUUUGGUCGGACCCACUGUGACGCACUUGUUUUUCCCGGACGCCAUUUUACGUGCAACUUCCGCUGGUGGCGACGGAACAGGCGGAUUAAUAUCUUGCAAUGACCGACUCUCUUUGUGCUAGCAAACGGGAGCGGAUCCAUGGAUCCAAACGCAACUUUUCCCUGCAAAUACUUCGACGGAGACAACGAGCCCCCAAAAUGGCUGCCUUGGUGCCAGGGGGACCACAGGCUGCUCUCCCAUCUCCCAUAAUCACCGGGGCGAUGCUCGGAUGCCUCCCCCAUUUGCAUAAUGCCAUCCUGACACUUUCACUUCCGCCAUCCAUCACCGGCGGCGUGAGUCCCGCGGCCUGCUCCGUCGCUCCGUCUCCCCCUGAUUGCGUCCUGUGUUUAUCUGCCCAAGCACAAAAGAUUGAUUCCCCGCUGUCUCUCGGCCUUAUGUUCAGCAGAUAGGGAUUUUCGCCGAAUGAUGAAGCACCCAGUCAGCUAAUGAUAAACAGAAAACACAUAUUCAAAAGGACGGUCUCCCCCCUCUCUCCGGCUUUAGUGUGGCUGCCGCUCGCCUCAGCUUCUCCUCUGCCAUGUGUGGGGAAGGGAGGGAUGUCAGGUUAAGGAAGUGAACACACUCUGCAGGGAGUUCAAUUUGAAACGCAAUUGUUUUCCUGUCAGUCCUUUUACAUUUUUUCUGUUGAUUUGCUCCAG
rnacentral:lncRNA from 1 species